AUGGCCGAUGAUACCAAGUUCCUCCUGUGGCUGCUGCUCCUGAGCAGCUCAUCGUUGUGCCACGGUUCUGAGCUUGACAUCCAGUGCCUGAAGUCCGUACAAAAAUCAGUGGCCGACCCAAACGGCAUCCUCAAAUCCUCUUGGAAAUUCAACAAGAACGGCCGCAGCGGCUACAUAUGCGGAUUCACCGGCGUGGAAUGCUGGAGCCACGACGAUAACAGGGUGCUCACUCUGCGCCUGCCCAACUUGGGACUCCAAGGGCCGUUCCCCCAAGGCCUCCAUGACUGCACGAGCAUGAUCGCGCUGGACCUCUCAGGCAACGGUUUCUCAGGGCCGAUCCCUUCGCGCAUCGCACACGAUGCGCCGCACCUGUCGUACCUGGACCUCUCGAACAACAGCUUCUCCGGCGAGAUCCCGGACGGCAUCGCCAACAUGGUGUAUCUCAACGUGCUCAACCUCGAGUACAGCCGGCUCGACGGCCAGAUUCCGGAGCGGUUCAACGCGCUUGGCCGGUUAACGACGUUCAGCGUCGCGGACAACCUGUUAUCGGGGCCUGUUCCUUCUUUGCUGCGGAAGUUUCCGGCCUCGCACUUUGCUGGUAACCGUGGGCUCUGCGGUGCGCCGUUGGACGGGUGCCCUGGCAAGAGAUGGGGAUUGAUCACGAUCAACGACCAGUCUACUGUCGGAGCGGCUGUCGGGUUCGUCGUGGGGUUCGUGGCGGCUUUCUACUUCCCGCACUGGUUCGGCUUCUCCGGGAGGCCCCGUGCUUGCAGCCUCCGCGUAUGA
rnacentral:rRNA from 1 species